rnacentral:rRNA from 1 species
CAAUAGCGUAUAUUUAAGUUGCUGCAGUUAAAAAGCUCGUAGUUGGAUUUCGGGUGGAAAUGGCCGGUCCGCCGUUUCGGUGUGCACUUGCUACGCCCACCUUGCUGCCGGGGACGUGCUCUUGAGUUCACGCUCGGGACACGGAGUCGGCGAGGUUACUUUGAGUAAAUUAGAGUGUUCAAAGCAGGCCUACGCUCUGAAUACAUUAGCAUGGAAUAACACGAUAGGACUCUGGCCUAUCUUGUUGGUCUGUAGGACCGGAGUAAUGAUUAAGAGGGACAGUCGGGGGCAUUCGUAUUUCAUUGUCAGAGGUGAAAUUCUUGGAUUUAUGAAAGACGAACUACUGCGAAAGCAUUCGCCAAGGAUGUUUUCAUUAA